rnacentral:rRNA from 1 species
AUGGGUACAGGAUGCAGUAGCAACAAAGACUUCAACUGGGAGGAGCUUCGAAUAGAGACCCAUGACUUGCACUACCUGGGCAACACCAUCACAGAAGAUGAGGUUUGGGGGGCCAUAAAGGAGAUGCCUAGUGAUAAGGCGCCCGGUCCGGAUGGCUUCACAGGGAUCUUCUUCAAGAAGUGUUGGGGCAUCAUCAAGCUUUCGGUCAUGAGGGUCAUCCAGUGUUUUGACUCUCUCCACACCUCCAACCUGCAUUGGUUGAAUUCCGCCAAUGUUGUGCUAUUGCCCAAAAAGGAGGGUGCGGAAGGCAUCUCUGAUUACAGACCUAUCAGUCUCAUCCACGCCAUCGCAAGAAUAAUUGCCAAGGUCCUUUCGCUCCGGCUGGCUCCACACAUGGACUGCCUUGUCUCCAACGCCCAAAGUGCAUUCAUAAAGAGGCGUAGCAUACAUGGCAACUUCAUGUGCGUGCAUAAUUUUGCUAGGCGCUUACACAAGUGCAAGACCCCGUCACUCCUUUUCAAGCUGGACAUAAGAAAG